rnacentral:rRNA from 1 species
GAUGAACGCUGGCGGCGUGCCUAACACAUGCAAGUCGAACGGUGGAACGCCAAGCGUUUUGGUGGGCGGGGAGGGGGGGCGGGCGGGGGAGUAACACGAGAGUAACCUGCUCCCUCCUGCGGGAUAACGGCAUGAAAGUGAGGCUAAUACGGGAUAUUAUGUGCCUGUGGCAUGAUGGGUCUGGGAGAGAUUUCGUGUCGGUGGGAGAUGGGGUCGCGGCGUAUUAGCGGGUUGGUGGGGUGAUGGCCUACCAAGGCGGCGAUGCGUAGCCGCCCUGAGAGGAUGGUCGGCCGCACUGGAGCGGAGGCGCCGUCCACACUCCUCCUGGGGGCAGCAGUAGGGAAUAUUAUUCAAUGGUGGGCGGCAUGAUGCUGCAGCGCCGCGUCGUGGAGGAUGGAGUUCUUCGUGUUGUGAACUUUUUUUGCCAGUGAAGCAGGGCUGCCUCGUUUGUGGGUGUGUUGACGGUAGCUGGAUAAGAAGCGCCGGCUAACUACGUG